rnacentral:sRNA from 1 species
AGCAGCCGCGGUAAUUCCAGCUCCAAUAGCGUAUAUUAAAGUUGCUGCAGUUAAAAAGCUCGUAGUUGAAUUUCGGGACUAAUAUGUCGGUCGUGCCUCGGUACGUACUGGCUUAUUGGUUUCUCCUUUCUGAAGAACCAUGAUGUCAUUUAUUUGGUGUCGUGGGGAAUCAGGACUGUUACUUUGAAAAAUUAGAGUGUUUAAAGCAGGCUCACGCUUGAAUACAUUAGCAUGGAAUAAUGAAAUAGGACGUUUGAUUCUAUUUUGUUGGCUUCUAGGAUCGACGUAAUGAUUAAUAGGGAUAGUUGGGGGCAUUAGUAUUCAAUUGUCAGAGGUGAAAUUCUUGGAUUUAUUGAAGACUAACUACUGCGAAAGCAUUUGCCAAGGAUGUUUUCAUUAAUCAAGAACGAAAGUUAGGGGAUCGAAGACGAUCAGAUACCGUCGUAGUCUUAACCAUAAACUAUGCCGACUAGGGAUCGGAUGAUGUUAAUUUUUAAUGACUCAUUCGGCGUAC